rnacentral:rRNA from 1 species
UACGUAGGGUGCGAGCGUUAAUCGGAAUUACUGGGCGUAAAGCGUGCGCAGGCGGCGCCGCAAGUCAGGCGUGAAAUCCCCGAGCUUAACUUGGGAAUGGCGCUUGAAACUACGGUGCUGGAGUGUGGCAGAGGGAGGUGGAAUUCCACGUGUAGCGGUGAAAUGCGUAGAGAUCCGGAGGAACACCGAUGGCGAAGGCAAUCCCCUGGGCCUGCACUGACGCUCAUGCACGAAAGCGUGGGGAGCAAACAGG